rnacentral:snRNA from 1 species
GUGCUUGCUUCGGCAGCACAUAUACUAAAAUUGGAACGAUACAGAGAAAUUAGCAUGGCCCCUGCGCAAGGAUGACACGCAACUUUGUUCAUUUUUCUU